AGUGAACGCUGGCGGUAGGCCUAACACAUGCAAGUCGAACGGCAGCACAGUAAGAGCUUGCUCUUACGGGUGGCGAGUGGCGGACGGGUGAGGAAUACAUCGGAAUCUACUUUUUCGUGGGGGAUAACGUAGGGAAACUUACGCUAACACCGCAUACGACCUACGGGUGAAAGCAGGGGAUCUUCGGACCUUGCGCGAUUGAAUGAGCCGAUGUCGGAGUAGCUAGUUGGCGGGGUAAAGGCCCACCAAGGCGACGAUCCGUAGCUGGUCUGAGAGGAUGAUCAGCCACACUGGAACUGAGACACGGUCCAGACUCCUACGGGAGGCAGCAGUGGGGAAUAUUGGACAAUGGGCGCAAGCCUGAUCCAGCCAUACCGCGUGGGUGAAGAAGGCCUUCGGGUUGUAAAGCCCUUUUGUUGGGAAAGAAAAGCAGCAGGUUAAUACCCCGCUGUUCUGACGGUACCCAAAGAAUAAGCACCGGCUAACUUCGUG
rnacentral:rRNA from 1 species